UCAGGACGAACGCUGGCGGCGUGCCUAAUACAUGCAAGUCGAACGGUCUUUUCUAUGGAAGCUUGCUUCCACUGAGAAGAUAGUGGCGAACGGGUGAGUAACACGUGGGUAACCUGCCCAUAAGAGGGGGAUAACAUCCGGAAACGGGUGCUAAUACCGCAUAGUUUUCUUGAUCGCAUGAUCGGGAAAGGAAAGACGGCCUUUGUGCUGUCGCUUAUGGAUGGACCCGCGGCGUAUUAGUUAGUUGGUGAGGUAACGGCUCACCAAGACGAUGAUACGUAGCCGACCUGAGAGGGUGAUCGGCCACAUUGGGACUGAGACACGGCCCAAACUCCUACGGGAGGCAGCAGUAGGGAAUCUUCCGCAAUGGACGAAAGUCUGACGGAGCAACGCCGCGUGAGUGAAGAAAGGUUUUCGGAUCGUAAAACUCUGUUGUCAGAGAAGAACAAGUUGGAGAGUAACUGCUCCAGCCUUGACGGUAUCUGACCAGAAAGCCACGGCUAACUACGUGCCAGCAGCCGC
rnacentral:rRNA from 1 species